UGGGGAAUUUUGGACAAUGGGCGCAAGCCUGAUCCAGCCAUGCCGCGUGCGGGAAGAAGGCCUUCGGGUUGUAAACCGCUUUUGUCGGGGAAGAAAUCUCUCGGGCUAAUACCUCGGGGGGAUGACGGUACCCGAAGAAUAAGCACCGGCUAACUACGUGCCAGCAGCCGCGGUAAUACGUAGGGUGCGAGCGUUAAUCGGAAUUACUGGGCGUAAAGCGUGCGCAGGCGGUCGUGCAAGACAGAUGUGAAAUCCCCGGGCUCAACCUGGGAACUGCAUUUGUGACUGCACGGCUGGAGUACGGCAGGGGGGGAUGGAAUUCCGCGUGUAGCAGUGAAAUGCGUAGAUAUGCGGAGGAACACCGAUGGCGAAGGCAGUCCCCUGGGCCUGUACUGACGCUCAUGCACGAAAGCGUGGGGAGCAAACA
rnacentral:rRNA from 1 species